rnacentral:rRNA from 1 species
GCCGCGGUAAUACGUAGGUGGCAAGCGUUGUCCGGAAUUARKGGGCGUAAAGCGCGCGCAGGCGGUCUUUUAAGUCUGAUGUGAAAGCCCACGGCUCAACCGUGGAGGGUCAUUGGAAACUGGGAGACUUGAGUACAGAAGAGGAGAGUGGAAUUCCACGUGUAGCGGUGAAAUGCGUAGAUAUAUGGAGGAACACCAGUGGCGAAGGCGACUCUCUGGUCUGUAACCGACGCUGAGGCGCGAAAGCGUGGGGAGCAAACAGGAUUAGAUACCCUGGUAGUCCACGCCGUAAACGAUGAGUGCUAGGUGUUAGGGGUUUCGAUACCCUUAGUGCCGAAGUUAACACAUUAAGCACUCCGCCUGGGGAGUACGACCGCAAGGUUGAAACUCAAAGGAAUUGACGGGGGCCCGCACAAGCAGUGGAGCAUGUGGAUUAAUUCGAUGCAACGCGAAGAACCUUACCUGGGCUUGACAUACACCAGAUCGCUGCAGAGAUGUAGCUUCCCUUGUGGCUGGUGUACAGGUGGUGCAUGGUUGUCGUCAGCUCGUGUCGUGAGAUGUUGGGUUAAGUCCCGCAACGAGCGCAACCCUUGUCUUAUGUUGCCAUCACGUGAUGGUGGGCACUCAUGAGAGACUGCCGGGGUUAACUCGGAGGAAGGUGGGGGAUGACGUCAAAUCAUCAUGCCCCUUAUGUCCAGGGCUUCACACAUGCUACAAUGGUCUGAACAACGGGAAGCGAAGGAGUGAUCUGGAGCAAAUCCCUUUAAACAGGUCUCAGUUCGGAUUGUAGGCUGCACUCGGCUACAUGAAGUYCGGAGUUGCUAGUWAUCGCGGAUCAGAAUGUCGC